GCAAGAAGAAAAGGCAAAAAUUAGGGUUCCUCCUCCAUUGUUGAUUGAAAGCUGCGAUUCAAGAUAAGGUCGAAGAAGACAGAACACGCAAAGUAGAAAGAAGAUGUCGUGUAGCAGAUUUGGGUGCGUCUCUGAGAUCGGUAGUGAGAACAAGAGCAACUUCAGCAGUGAAUUUCAAAGUAAUGAUAUGGAAGAUUCAAAUGGUCAAGAAACUCUCCUUCAAGUUUCUUAUUUGAACGACUCGACUGUGAUUUCUUUGAUUAAAAGUGGCGUCAUUUGCACACCACUGCCUUUUGUCAAUUGCCUUCUUGUCGGGCAGGCAAAAGGAUUUUGCCAGCCAAGAUGAUUUUUUUGUUCCCAAAUUACACGACGGGAAUUUUGCUAGUUACCUAUCACUGAAGAGAAAGAUCUUGAAGGCACGAAAGAUACGAGAGCGAUCUCUCACCAUGAGGUGUUUAGAUGAAGUGAAUUUGAUUGGUAAUAGUGGAACUUACACAUGGGAGGAUCCAUUCCUGACCUUUGGAGGUUGUAGAGGAACUUGGAAUCCAAAUAGCAGACAAUAGGUAUCUCAUCCAUCAAAAUAUAACUGGCAUACAUAACACCAAAGGUGAUAAGGUGCAUGGCAUUAAAUUACCAACCGGAUACGCAUAUGCAUGCAGAGCACAUAGAGGAGCUUGUUAAUCAAAGAAAUAGUAUUGACUGCGGAUAUUUUGUGAUGAGAUUCAGGAAAGAGGUUGCCAUGGAAUAUCCAAAUAAGAUCCCCAAUAAUUACUUUGAUGACCACAAAUGUCCUUCAUACUCUUUGGAGAAGCUAGAUGAGGUGAGGGAGGAAUCGGCUACCUAUGUGGCCUAACAUGUUAUCAAGACGGCAAAAAUGAAGCAAAUAUAUUAACUGAUCAGUGAAUUAACCAAUAGUUGGUAAAUUGUAUCUUAUUGCUAAGGUUUUGUGGCUUUAUUUCUGUUCUGGUCAGCUGCAACCUGCAGGUCUGCUGUGUGUAUUUGGGUUCAGUUGCUUGUAGUUUUGGUGCCGCAAGGAGCUGCUAUGCUUUGUAUUUGUUAUUAGGUGGAGUUUUGUUUUGCCAAUUUUCUGGUUUUUUUAGUAGAGGUUUGGUAUUCUCCCUGAGCUUUUUGCGUUCUGUGCUUGAUAGAGGAGAACAUUUGAUAGCGCUUAAUAAACACUAUUAUAGGUACCAAACCUAUGAUAGUGAUGCUUGUAAGAGUUUUUAAGUGCUAUUAAAAGAAAAAGAAAAGAUGCAAGUCUUGGUAGCUCUGCGGUGAUAUCCUCAGCAUGACGGAGUGGUUGGAUAGCCUCAAACGGUGUCGUAGUACGGAUGAUAGAGGU